ACAUUGAAAUACUAGUUCUCGUACGAUCACUGAAGUUAAGCAACACCAAGUCUGGUCAGUACCUAAAUGGGUGACCGCUUGGGUAUACAAGGUGCUGUAAG